CAUAAUACCUACAUAAUGGUCAUCAUUCUAAUGCUCCUUUGCUACCGCAAUGGAGGCAGUCGUUGCAAAAUGUUGUUGCAAAGUUCAAGCCCAAAAAACAAGCUAGUUUUGAGAACCCUUACCUGGUUGGUUGGUAAGAAGGUGUGUCUGUCAGUCUUGAUGAGAGGCGGCGAUCGAUUUCCUCCUCAGUUUUGUCUGAUCACAGAAAACCAAGAGGUAAAAGAGCCACUUUUUUUAGGUUCCUCGGCUGUGAUGCUCUUUCAAUAAUACAUUGUAUAUUGUACAUUGUCUGUACACCACAGCUUUUUUAAUCAGAAAUUGUAACUUACGUGUGACAACCGCUGCACCUUUGUAGUCACAGAACACACCGCUCAGCCAUGCGUCGCGGCUGCACGCGAAUGUCUUUGGCGUUCGUGCGGUCUGUCCGUGUGCCCUCUGUGUGUGUUCCUGACGACUGUAUGCUCAAUGUGUGUCGCUUGCCCUUGCCAGCUCUCUGCGCGUUGGGUGUGUGCGUGUGGUGCUCAGCAGCUGCCUUGGUGCUUUGUGCGGUAGCGGUGAGUGUCUGUGAGUGUCUGUGAGGUGCUCGCGCGUCACCGGCGUGCUGGGUUCUAUCGGAGCGCUGGCACGCACGGCAGCUCUGCGUCUUGCCGCUCUUCGUCUUCCCCUGCCUCCUCAUUCUCCGGCCACACUGUCGACACCCUCCGCUGGCCGGCCUCUCCUCUGCCUUCACCCCCUGUUGGCCAGCUGGCCCUCUGGAGCCCAGCGGGUCCGCGGACGCAGGCGGGGCCACCUUGUCAUCCAGCACAGAAGCGGGCACCUGAGCCGGGGGAGUGGACACGUUGGGGGUCUUGGAGAUCCGGCAGAGCCCCAGGGUCAUGAGGUGGGCGGACUGGGCCAGCUGGUCGUCCAGCUGGUUGGGUGGGCGGACCAGGGGGCAGGAGGCCUUCAGGUGGAAGAUGGUGGGCUCCUCUCCAUCUGCCCCCUCCUCCUCCUCCUCCUCUUCGUCAUCUUCAUCCUCAAACAGAGUGCUGACCUGGAUGAGUGAGGGAUCGAAAAGGUCAGCCUGAUAGGAAGUCUGCUAAACGGCUGACUUGCAAACUAGUUAAGGGACCGACCCGUCUCCUACCUCACAGGUCUCCGCCACUUGAAGACCACCGUCACAGUUCGAACUCAUGCCCAUGUCACAUGAUCGUGGACUCAUGCUGGGCAGAAUGCCGUACAUGGGCAGCAGGAAGGACAUGCGGUCCAGACCCAUGUGAUCCAUGGGGUCAUCGUCACUGUGAUUGGACUCGGACGUGAGCUCGAGUUCCAGGUUAUAGGGAGAGUCGGGGGUGCGGGGGGCUAUAUGCUCCAUCACUACAGCCUCCUCUUCCUCAAAGCCGGAGGAGGCCAUCGCGGGAGGCAGGUCGUCAUGGGAAUUCAGCAAAUGGGUCUUGAUGCUGCUCUUCAGGCUGCUUGUGAACUGACACACCCUGCAGCGAUACAGUUCUACGAGAAAGGCUUCGACUAGAUCAGCACCAGGGGCAUCGAGCCCGUGGACCGCGCCGCAGUACAGACUCGACGUGACGUUCGCUUCUAUAACGUUCACCGUCACGGGGUUUAUGUCCCUGUACUGCUCCUUCACAGAAUGCAUCGUGUCGUGUUUCGAAAGACGAAGAUAUGUGUAGUGGUACAUACAAGACUUAAAGAGUGUAAGGGAAGUUGGAACUGACCCGUGGUUAAACUGGUUUAUUCUGCUUGCUUGGUUCACAAAAACGUAAUCCCGCCUCGGUGUCCCCAAAUAGACUAUACAUAUUCAAGGUCAUGGUGAAUCCAAAUUGUUAAGAAUUGCAUGGGAUACAUGGGAUUUAUACAGUAUAGUCCAAACAACAACACCGAAAGUAAACACAUAAACUCUUCUUCUACAACCUCUAUUCUUUCUUCUUGGUUUUACUCAGUCAGCGAAGCAUAGCAAGAUUUCUGGGCCGUGGCGCCAUCUAGCGUACCAUUGUGCAAUAUCUCAUGGGACAUGUUUUCUUAUAUUUUUAGCUGUUUAUAUUUUGUAACUUUAAUUGAAAGCAGGAUGCACAAUACUAAAUAAUUUAACAUCUUAUUCAAAUUAAGUAUAGCCUUCUUUAGUAAGUCUACUUGACGGUGAGAGGAGAAACCUGUUUCAUACUUUGCAAUGAAGAUAUUCUGGAACUAAACUUCUGGUGCCACCAAAUAGACGAGAUGCUAAGGAAUGCCUAUAUUCCUUUAAAAUCUAGUCUUUUUAAAAAAUGUACUUUAUGUAGAUGACUGACAGUUUCGAUGGCUUUACAUCCUUCCACUACAUCAGCCUUCUAGACCACUAAGAAGCUCUGAGACCAAUCUGUUAAUUAUCCCCAGAGUAAACACAAAACAUGGGAAAGCAGGAUUUGGUUAUUAUGCAACAAAUAACUGGAAUAAACUCCCAGAGGAUUUAAGACUUGCCCCAACUCUGAGCACCUUUAAAACAAGACUGAAGACUUUUAUGUUUGCUAUAGCUUUCUGCUAAAUCUUAAAUACAUUCCACUUUCUAAAAAGCUUUUUUAACUUUGCCUUUAUUUUCUAUUUUAAUAAUAAAAUGCCUUUUUAACUUUCUAUUUUACCCAUUUCUUUGCAUAUGUUUUACUAUUACUUAUCUAUUAUUUAAUUUAAUUGUAUGACAAUGUUUAUAUGUGAAGCACUUUGAGUCUGCCUUGUGUAUGAAAAUUGCUAUAUAAAUAAAGUUGCCUUGCCUUGCCUAAUAGGUCUUUAAUUCUUCAUUCCUUAUUAGGUCCAUGGUAACAUCAGUCUGAAAACAAACGGUCUCUAACAGGUCCGAUGGUCUGUCUUUCCCGCCAAAUCAGCCCGGAACCUGAAGUAGUUCCUUUCCGGUCCCGUCUACAAGACCACGUUUAAAAGACGGCGGCUCCACAACUGUUUGACUACGGAUCAAUACCAGCAUCAGCGUGUUACUUUAGACAUCUGAACCAAAGGAAUUGGGUGAUGCUGGGACUGAAGUCGUAAUCCUUCUGAUAGAAGGUGCUGUGACCCCUUGGAUCAGCCCCUCCAUGAUCUGUUACCUAAAUCACCACAACUAGGGGACUUUGACAAGCUCUUGUAGGGAAGUGCAAACUUUACAAACAGACAAACAGAAAAGGCCAACUUUAAGACUGGGGUGAAUCUGGUGGUGCUGCUGGGGCUGAAGGUGCAAUUAUUCCGAAAGGAGUUGCUGUGCCUCCUUGGACCAGCCCUGCUAUGAUCUGUUGCCUAAAUAAUCUGCGGGACUGACAAGCUCUUCUGGGAACCAGCCAAGCUAAAGGCCGGCGUAUGCAACGAGAUGGCUCUGGUGGUGAGUGACGGGAGGCCACCUUGUGAAAGACUAGGACAAGUUACCCCCUGCUCCGCUGCCCCUAUAGGACACUUCUGGCAGUGCAAUGGAGCCCACCCAUUGACCUGCAUGAUCACAUUGCUUGUAUUACUCUACUUCACAUGAAUAUCUUUUGUAAAUCCCGUUCAGCAACUUGGUACAUUUCUGUUUGAGGGAUAAAAAUGGAAACCGUUUCCCAUGCAUUCAGCUGCACAUCAGUUAUUUCAAUGUCCAGUUUUCCGUUUUCUUUCAAAAAUUCUGUUGUCUCCAUAUUCAGUGCUGUGAUGCCAUGGUAUAACUUGCUUAUAAUGCCUUUUGGAACUCCUGAGAUUUAGGCAUUAAUAAAUGUAUAAAUAAUAAUUGGUGGCUCUCUUGGAUUCUAUACCCAUUUCUUACUCAAAUCUGGAAUACCUUCCUUUGGAUCAUGUAUCGACAGAUUUGUUUAUUUUUGGAAAGGCAUG
ensembl:lncRNA